UACCCCUGAGUAAAGUGGCGCACGGGUGAGUAACACGUGACUAACCUACCUUCGAGUGGGGGAUAACCUCGGGAAACCGAGGCUAAUACCGCAUAACAUCGAGAGAUCAAAGGAGCAAUUCGCUUGGAAGAGGGGGUCGCGGCUGAUUAGCUAGUUGGCGGGGUAAUGGCCCACCAAGGCGAAGAUCGGUAGCCGGCCUGAGAGGGCGCACGGCCACACUGGAACUGAAACACGGUCCAG
rnacentral:rRNA from 1 species